rnacentral:snRNA from 1 species
AAAUAUGAGGAGGAUCUAGCAGCGUUAUCUGUCACUACAUGUGUCAACAGGAUUGAUUCAACUGACUUAGGUACUGUGUCCCUCCUCCCUCACCACUCCAUAUGUGUCCCUCCCAAAGAUGUAUGCUGAGCCCGACAGGAAACCUUUCAAUAGAAGAUGACUGCUCUUUCAGUCAAAGGUGUACAAGUAGCCACAUCUCCUUGUGAAUCCUCGAAACAAGCUCUCCAGAUAGUAAGCUCAGCAGAGAGCCCAGCUAUGAUCAGCACGCCUCUGCUGGGAGCCAUUCCCC